CUCUGAGCAAAGAAUUUCCGCCCAAAAGCAAAUCUAACCCUACAGACCUCUGAGGACAGCAGUGACCGUGAGGAAUUACGUGUGCACAGAGUUGGUGACUCUACAGGAGCUGCAGGCAGGACACAAACUCCCUCAGGAAUCUGAAAUCGGCGGCGCAGUGAUCCAGCAGGAUCCAAAGGACGCUGGCCGAGUUAAAGCUUUGUGGGGCCUGGGAAGGCAGCCCCCACACAACCUGUAUGGAAUGUAUUUCACCAAAUUGGCAACAAUGCCUCUGAGCAGAGGGUCAGGGGAAGCUGUUGGCUGGUGGUGUCAGAAGGGGCUGGAGAGCAGCAGCAGCCAGAGCUGCUCCUGGGAGGGAGACAUGCCAGCGCCACCCACACUGGUGUGGUGCCCUACGCCUGGCUGGGACACAACUGGAAAAUUAGUGGGAGUGAGGUACACUGCAGUCAUCCCCGUGUGGUUUGUAACAUACAAUUACAAGCAUUUCAUACACUGUGAAACACAAACCUCACAACUGAUGUAUUAAUUCCACAGUGACAGCAGGACUGUGGAUCCAAGCAUCACCAGACUUGCAGUGACCACACUGGGCUUUGGAGUAGGCUUGGUGAGAGGUCACUGCCCUCUGGGAGCCAUGGAGUGACACCAUUCCCUCCACUUGUUAUGACACCUGAAAUGGAAUAGAUUGUGCCUGUUUUUAACUCACACUAAGCCAAUGUGAAAAAAACUUUAAAAACAAUCUUUAAAACAACAGCAGCUGCAAUGGUAGGUUGAAGAAAGAGCUAAACACUACAGAGCAUAGCAAGGUGGGAUGAAGGUACAAGGUCAAACAGAGUGGAAGGGAAGAUGGGGGAGAUCCUCCCCCAAUACCUGUUUGGAAGGAGAUCCUAUUUCUGUGGGCCUAAAUCUUAGCCCACAGUGCAAGCAGCUGUUCAAAUUAGAAGGAGCUCUAAUGAUGGAAGAGACUUGCUGAAAAAUUACUUUGACAUGAAACAGUGGUAGCAGGGGUACUUAUGGAGAAUUGGAAUAAGGAAAUCAGCUGUCCAGGAGGAAGGACUGAUGAGUUACAUUGCCACAUUUUGUCACUACAAAUACACUUGAGCAAAACUAACUGGAAAGAUGAAAUAACUCAUGCAAAAAUAGUUAACCAACAGUGCAUCUCUCACUCAGGAGAUCAUAGUCCAAAUUCCCAAGCAGCAAUAUCUCUUUCUCUCCCUUUUUUUCAUUUUCUCUGUGGACUCCUCACUUUUCUCUUAUGAUUAUCUCUUACAAAACAUCAAAUAAUCUUAGGAUUAUCUCUUACAAAAUCUCAGAGACAGGGUCACACUGUGCUGGACAGACUGCUCAUUCCCUGGAUGGCCAUUUCUUUCACGCACAAAACUCUCCUGGGCUCUGGCACGUUGCUUUUCACAGAGCCAGAACUGACCUCAGCCUUCCUGCUGGAGCGUGAGACAAGCCCAGAGCAGAGCCCAGUGCCGAGCACAGGCAGGCAGGGGCAGCAGAGGCAGCUCCUGGGAACACAAGGGAGGCUGCACAGCAAACAGCUCUGUGCCCCACCGUUGUUCCAUGCUGCUGAAUCCCUAGAGAGGAUUCCACCAGCUUAAGGAAAUUAAAGGGCACUCAGAAUCACAGUGCUCUAAGACUGGCCACAGCUCUGCAGGUUUGCACUGUACAGAAUAAAUGAGAUCCUGCUAAGUGAUCAGCAGAGUCUAAGCUCGGAGCUGCAACUCUCUGAAUCUCUUCAGCAAUCUCCAAGCCACUGGGAAAUGGGAGUAUCCACCAGCCCAAACACAGGAUUGCAGGAUCUGCUCUUUGAGAGGAUAAUGCUGCAAUCAUGGGCAGGAUCUCCCAAAGAACUCACCCUUCAAAUCAGUGGGGAUCUUCUGUCUCAAGAUCCCCUCAGUCAUUUCCUUUUCACAUUGGUGAAAAGGAAAUGACUGGGGAGGUUCCUGGGUUUGGGAUUUGCUUCUUGCCUCCACUGUUUCCUUUGGUCCUAUGGAAACAGUCACUAAAUCUGCAUCAGUUCCCAGUUCCUGUAGCCCGUAAAUCAGCCAGAACUCCCCUUGACCUUGGUGGGAGGCUUGCAUGAUUAAAGCCAGAAGAGAGACAGCAAUGAAAAAUCACAUACAAGAGCCUUUCUUUUCUUUUCUUCUCUCUCUCUCUUUUUUUUUUUUUUUUUUUUUUUUUUUUUUUUUUUUUUUUUAAGAAAAGAGAAGUGUUUCUAGCCAUGAGAAAUACUUCUUUUCUGCUCCUAAGGGCAAACUUUGAAAGUGAUGUAACUGUUACACGCAUAUAUCCUAUUAUUUGUUAGCAGGUUUCACACAGGUAACUUGCUCAAAUCACUUUGAAAACAUUUCCUUUAAUAUAGGAACACAGGAGACAGAUUAAAAGCAUGCAGGUCUCCUGCUGAAUGCCAGAGGCUCUGGAACACUGAACUCAGUACUUUGUAAAAUUAUCUCCCUUCAAACAAACUUUCUACUGUACUGAUUGAAAAGGAGAAGGAAGGUGGGAGCCAAAUAAUGCUAGAGAGAAUUCAAGUCAAUUUUCUGCCUACACAGCCUGACAGGACCCCAGCCCUGGCCAUGACCUCCCCAGAGCUCUGCUUACCUGACGACCUCCAACGCCCCAUUUGGAAACAAUAAUUAGCCCUAUUAGUGAAUAAAGAAAACGAAAUCUAACAGAAAGUUUAAGAAUCAAGCAAAUCCUGCACUCAGGUUUCAUUUCAAUCCUCGGAUUAAGAGUUUUCAUCCAAAUCCACUCUAAUUAAAGAUGGUGGGAGCUUUGCAGAGAUGCAGAUAUUUCUACCACACCAACCAGCUGCUCCACUUCCCAGGAUUUAGUCUGAUGUACUUUAAGGCCCUCCCUGUCAAAUAUGCUGAUCUAGGAUUUCAGCUUCCUUGCAGCUUCCAGCCAAAAGGCUCCAUAUCACUGACUGGGGCUGCAGGAUGAGUAAGCAGGUAUUCUAACAAGGGAAGGAUGAGACUGGAACUGUCCUGGGCUAUGAAGAUUGCAGGAUUGUGCCCUACAGCUCUGAGCACCUCCAGCUUUCUUUGAAGCCUGUGGCAGCAACCCAGGAUCAAGUCUUCACUUAUUCAGAGGGUAAUUCUCCCAGGAUUUUCAGUAAGGUUUAUUUUUCACUCCUGACACUUCUUCUAUGCUCCUAAUGUCAGAGUUUCUGCCAAAUAUGUGUGGCUUCUCUCCUUUUAUCCUCCUUUUCCUUUCAAAAAACCCAAACCCCACAGUGAAGGCUUUAGUUUCCCUUUUUUUUAAUUUUUUUUUUAAUUGAUUGGUUUUCUUUGUUGAUUUUGUAUAGCACCUUCCCCAGUCUCCAGGAGGAGAGUUUUGGUGGAGCUGAAUCAUGCACAGCAGUGGCUGAACAGCAUGUUCUGAGACUGGACACCCAAAGCACAGAGCUCUGAAGCCAUAAACAACUUGACAAGGCUGAGGUUGUGCCUCUGAGCAGAACAUUGAACACUGACAAGUUCCUUAGGAAAAACAGGCCUCGAGCUGUCAAGAGCGCUAAAACUCUAAGAUGGAGAAAAAUAAUUUAAUUUUCCUUCUCAAAGGUUAAGAAACACUGCCAAACCCAAUGACUGAUGUUGGCACAAGGAGGAUAGAAAUGAAAUGCAGGAAUGAAAGGCUGAAAAGAAUAGAAGACUUGUCAUAACAAUGAGGGAUUUACGUUUUGAGGUCCAGAAUUUUUUAGUCUCAGUUUAGACAGUGCCCCUUACUUAAAAACAACAAGCUGACCAAGUUUUGGAGUGAAAAUUGCAUUUUCUCAUGUUAAAAUUAAUUUUUCUUGCUAAAACAAAGUAUAUGGGAUUCAAGAAUUGCCAUGAAUUACAACAAAAACUGUAGACAGUACAGCUUCAAAAAGAUGCCUGAACCAAAGCUGAGGCUGAUGUAAGCCAUCAGAGCUUGAAGAAGUUAAUUGACUUUAAGCUACUAAAAAACUGAUUUAUGAUGAAUAUUCCCAGUAGAAGUAGCAGACUCAUUUGUUUUCUGCAUAUAAAACACACCCAAAUUAACUUUAUUUAGUAUUUCAUGUGCUCAUUAGUGACACAUAAGUCUCAAGUCCACACUGGAUGUAAAAUAUAUAUAUGGGCCAUUACAACAGCAGCCUUUGCAGAUGGCACAUAUUAAAUCAUUAAAAAGUUACUGCUCUUCAGUCAUUAAUGGCUAGGAAACACUAUGAAUUUGGCCUUCUGGUGCUAUUUUUCCCACUGAAGAGUCAGCUUUUGACAACUGACUUUAUAAGCACUGAGGAGAAAUGCAUGCAAGGCAUCCAGAGCAAUCAGCUGCCAGCAGAACCCACACCCACCUCAGCAGCCCCAGGGACUCCCUGGGAAUUGUUUGUAAAGCAAAGGCUGAGGCUGGAGGCUCGUCACAAUAACAGGAAUGACAAUGCAGGGACCACUGCAGCUCAAGGAGUUGCUGAUGGAUGGAGCAUCAUUCUUUCCCCAGUGACAAGUGAAUGAGGUAGACACAACCUUGUUUCUAAUACCAGUCAAUUCAUAGGCUCAGAUGAAAAGACCCUUGUGCAAAAAGCCCAGCAUUACACAGAAAAGCAGGCACAGUGAUAAUCAGCCUCUUCUUCACUUGUUGCAUGUAAUACCCACAUGGUUUUGUGAGGAUUUGCCAUUGCAGACACUCAGCCUCUCGAUCUGGUCCCCAUUUCUGCCAAGAUCAUUCACUGUAUUCUACAGGGCUGUGUCAAUUCUUUUUCCUGUCAAUGUUGCUGUCACUUUCUUUAAAACAAUGCUCUAGAAAGUGUCAGAGCAGACUGAUUUUCUUGACAUCCCCUGAAUUUCUCUUUUCUUAUUUUCCUCACAUUGCAUUUGAUAUAAUUUCUCCUUCACUUCCAUUGUAGUUUCAUACAUACACCUUAGCUAGGGUUCACACUGUCCUACUAAGCUGAAGGAAAAGGAUAAAGCAAAAUAUUUUUUAGUAUAAAUAGCAAUGCAACAGGUUCUAUCAAUUCAGGUGUCUCCUACAAUGUUCCUGUUCAGACCUGUGCUGGGCCAUCCUGAGGGAAACCCAUAAUUUCCUGAGAUCUCACCAUCCUCUUAGGGCUCUCAGGAAAGCCAGGCUCCAAAGAACAGCACAUCUCAUUUUCCCUGCUGCAUGCACCCAACUCCAGGGCUUUUCCCAUAUGACUUUGACUUAGGUUCCUUUCUCACAUUACAUAUUACCACUCAUGUUUUUUCACCAGCUUGAGCUGCCCCUCAUUUUAUUUUCUGCCAUUCAGGACGUAUUUGCUCAAGGGAAAGAAAGGCAUCAUAGAAAUCUUGCUUUCUAAAGAGACUUCUGGCCCCUGGACCUAAUUCUGUUGCCACUGUCAGUGUCAGAAUGGGGCCAGUGAAUAUACACUGUCUAUAUCCAGUUCAUACUGUUUUAAAAUCCUUUUGCAUUAUGUUUCGUUGAAAUAAUUUUAAAAGCAUAUGUAUUUAUUAACCUAUAAAAUUUUUUUUACUCAUUCAAACUCCUCAUAAAGGCUUGAUUGAAGGGCAGUAUGAUGAUCUACCAAGAAUACAAAAGAAAAGUGUUUAGAAAUGGGUCAAAGAUACAAAAAUCUUGAAGAAAUAAUACAAAAGUUCAGAAGAAAGGCUUUGGGAAUAUUUUCUGCAAAGAAUUAGAAGAUCACAACUGGAGAGAAUGAGGCUGGAGAAGAUAAUAACAUAGAAUUGCCUCACAGGAUGCAGUGCACAGAGCCUGCCUGUGAGCACACGCGAGCUGGACACGUCUGCCAAGACCUGAUGCCAAGGCUGAUCUCUUCCUCCGUGGCAGGGAUGCUGAGGAACCACAUUACUCACACUGCCAGCAUGGGAACAGAUGUUUGGUCAUGCCUAACUGGUGGUUCCAAGCCUCAGCACUCCAGGGCCAGCUCCCAGCAGAGCCUGAAGCCCAAAGUGAAGAGCUUUGUCAUUGAUCCCAGCAGUCAGAGAGCAGCUCCUCUCCCCAGCCCCUACGGAAAAACCAGCAGGAGAACUCUUCACUAACCAUCACCCCCAUUAAGGCCAGAAAGCUCCAGUCCCUUCCACAAAUGUAAAAGUGACCUGAAAAAGUGUUCAUCUGAGUAUUUCUAUGUGAAACUCUGUAUCCUCUGUGCUGCUGGGAACACAGAGUUUCCUUAUUCAAAAGACAAGUUGGAUUCCAAAGAAUAUUCACAAAUUGGCUUGGGGAGAAUCCACAAGAGUAUUUGGAGUAGUUAAAAGUGUUAAUGAUAAAUCUUGAGAAGGUAAUGAAUGACCUAGUUCAUCUCUUUUGAGCUUCAUGGUCAAAACUAAAGAAAGAAGCACUCGAGAAGUGAGACACUUGAACGUGUUCUCAAGGGAUUAGAGAGCCAUUUAAUGUAAAAGCAAAGAAGUUACAAGUGCUAAAUAAUUAAAAUUACCAUAUUUACACUGAGUAUUUCAGAACUGUAGACUGUUUUGGGUGGGAAAGGACCUUAUAGACCAUCUAAUUCCAAUACUUCUGCCAUGAGUAGGACACCUUCCUCUAGAACAAGUUGUUCAAAACUUCACCCAACCUGGCCUGGAACGCUUCCAGGAAUGAUGCAGCCACAGCUUCUCUGGGCAACCUGUGCCAGUGCUGCACCAUUGUCGUGGUGCAGAACCUCUUCUGUUCAUCUAAAUCUACUCUCUUUCUGUUUAAAGCCAUUACCCCAUGCCCUGCAUGACCUUGCAAAAAGUCCCUCUCCAGCUCUCUUGUAGUUCUAGAAGGUGCUAUAAGGCCUCCCUGGAGUCUUCUCUUCUCCAGGCUGGAGCCUCGGCUCUCCCAGCCUGUUCCCACAGCAGAGGUGCUCCAGCCCUCUAAGCAUCUUCAUCACCCUCCUCUGGACUUGCUCCAACAGGUCCAUGUCCUUAUGUUGGAGAGCCCAGAGCUGGGUGCAGUGUUCCAGCCAGGAUCUCAGCAGAGCAGAGGGGCAGGAACCCCUCCCUUCACCUGCUGGCCAGGCUGCAACCCAGAUUGUUUGGCUUUCUGGGCUGCAAGUGCACAUGGCUGGCUCAUGGUGAGCUUCUCAUCCACCAGCAUCCCCACGUCAGGGCUGCUCUCCUCCCAGCCUUUAUUUUAUCCUGGGAUUGCCCUGCAGGACCUGGUACUUUGCCUUGCUGAACUUCAUGAGGUUUGCCUGAGCCCACCCCUCAAGCUGCCAAGGUCCCUUUGGAUGAAAUCCCUUCCCUGCAGCACGUUGACUCCACCACACAUCUUGGUGCUGUGGGCAAACCUGCAGAGAGUGCACUGGGUCCCCCUGCCCAUGCUGCCAGGGAAGAUGUGAAAUGACAGCUGUCCUGACCCUGGGGAAGGCCACAAGGGUGUUGUGUGGGACAAAGUCAGAUGCUUUGCACAAGCCCAGGUGAAUGAUGUCUGUCGCUCUUCUGGCAUGAUUUGCCCUCAGUGGCAAAGUAUGUGGGUUACACUUCCCUGUUUUCUGUCAGUGGCAGCUUCACUGCACUAGCCAUGACUUCUCAAAUCUGACAGAUAGCGGAUUAACAACUUCAUCUGCCAGUUCCCUUGGGACCUGUGUCUGCAUCUCAUCAGGUCCUGUGACUUGUCCACCUCCAACCUCCUUAGAUGGUCUUGGGACCUGCUCUCCUGCAGUGGGAGGUUCUGCAUUACCCCAGUCCGUUUGCCCCCUGCAACUCAGGGGGUGUGGCUGGAGCCCUUGCUGCUGAAAAUCAAGGCAGAAGUGCCACUGGAUAUCUCAGCCUUCCCCAUGUCCCAGGUAACCAGGUGCCCUUUUACUUAUGGAGACCACCCACAUAUCCCCAGUCGUCCUUUUAUCACCAAUGUACCUGUAGAAGUUCUCUUGUCAUCCUUGAUGUUCCUGGUCAUCUUCAAUUCUAUCAGGGCUUUGGCUUUCCUAACCUGAUCUCUGGAUGCUUGGACAGUCUCUCUGCAUUCCUCACAGACAACUCAUCCUUGUUUCUGCCCUCUGUAGUGCCCUUUUGGCACUUGAGUUUGUCCAGGAGCUCCUUGUUCAUCCAAGCAGGUGUCCUGGUAUUUCUGCCUGACUGUUAAUUUGUUGGGAUAUAUUUCACCUGAGCUUUGAGGAGGCAAUCCUUAAAUAUUAACCACCCUUUUUGGGCCCAUCUUGCCUUCAGGGCUUUAUCCCAUGGGACUUUACAAAGAAGAAAUCUGAAGAGGCCAAAUUUUACUCUCCUGCAGUCCAGGAUUUUGAACUUGUUGCACAUCCUCCUUGCUGCCUCCCACCAUUUCAUGACAUCUGCAGCCAAGGCUGCAGUAUCCAAACCAAGACCAAUCUAUUAGAGUAAUAGUAAAAUAUUUUCAAAUGUACCUAAUACUUUUUGGAAAAGGAAAGUUAUAGCCGUCAUUUGAGUCUGAUCUUUCUUGUAUUUUCCCCUAAAGCUUACUGGUCUAACUCUGCUGACUUAGAAUCAAAGCUUUGUGUACCUAUUAUGCACAUGAGAAGGAAAAAGUUUUCUGCUCCGUUCAACUAUUUCUGCCCUCUUCAUUUAUAUCAAAACAAAAUCUGAAACAGAAGGUGUGAAGGGAGAAGGAUUCUUUUCUGUCCCAAGAGUACAUCUAACAAAGAAACAACCCCAGAUUGCUAAAGAUUCUGUUCAAAGAUAAGAAGCUGGAAAUCUGGAUUCUUAGCACUGAGCUCUGCUGUGCCCCCACCCUGCUGCAUGACACUGGCUGAGCCUUCAAGGCAGGGAUAGUCUCCUCCCAUGCAUUUACAUCACAUCUAGCCCAUCAAGACUGCCAGGCUGCACUUUAAUAUAAAUAUAUGUCUUGACAAUUUUCUCUAAUGGCAGUCUAUAGACGUACCUGCCCUUUGAAAGCACUGCAGAGGGAUUUACCUAUGCAGCCCCCACUGAUUUCACUGGAGAUAGUUUCCUUCUGACAUACCUGUUUGUACUCUGGGUGUGUGCACAUGAAAAAAGAAGACAUUGGACGAAGCAGUCAAAGCAAUAUAACCCAGUAUGGGCUGCCAUUAUGCAAAUGGGCCACACCACAGUCUUCCCAAAUGGAUCUCACAAGGAUGGAGGUACCACCAGCCAUGUGAGGCAAGGAAUGACUCCAGAUUUCCAGAUAUGUCACCUGUGCUGGUUGCACAGGUGGCGUUCAGAAGCAGGACAGCGCCCAUCAGCUGCCAGGAACUGAAGGAAACGGGUCAAGAGGCCACAGAGCUUAUUGCUUACAGAAGCUCUUCAGCAGUUCAUUACACUUCUUACAAGUCAUCUUUAACAGAAGUAAGUGCCAGUUCCUUCAUUGUCUUCAGCAGAACACCUGAAAGUGAAAAGCACUCUCCUGUCUGAAGCUGCUCAGAUACAAACUGAACAACUUUCUUCCAAGUCAAAAUCUAAGACUACAAACUGUUUUGACUGGAGUCUGCAUACUGCUGCUAACACAGGGGUAGUUUUUCAAGUGUUUCGUUCUGUGCAUGCUAACUAGGGAUGAUUUGGUUAUUCACAGCAUGAUUUGGUUAUUCAGCUUUAUAGCAUCAGGAAAAACUGGGUACAAAAGAGAAAAGCACCCACGAGAGAGUGACCUGCAAGUUCAAGCAGCCCCUUCCCUGUUCAUCAAUCUGUAAAGGUCAACAGCCAUUGCAGAAGCUUGUAACACUCCCAGAUUCUGUCCCAGGGCUUCAUCCAUGUUUGUUGGGUCAAAAGGUUAGAAAGCAACAAAUAAAAGGGACUGAGAGCUAAACCUCACAAAAUGAGAUGAACAGGAACAGAGGAAGAGGAGCUGGGAACGCAGCGUUGCUGCUCAGCAUCACAACAAAGAGCAGCUUCUCCAGACAGUGAUGGCUCAAAAGAUUACCAGUUCCAGCCUGCCUCUGCUCAUCCACCUAGGCUGUAUUCUUUUGAACUGUAACCUCAGGAAAAAUAAGUAAAUUGUCCUGAGAGUGAUCUAAAAAGUAAAAGCAACUUCACUGUAGAAAAAAAGAAAAAUACCCUGAAUGCGAAUCCAUACACUUGCUCCAUUUAAAUGCAUUUAAAAUAAAUUAAUUCUGUGUCUCAAA